AGCGAACGCUGGCGGCAGGCUUAACACAUGCAAGUCGAACGGGCAUAGCAAUAUGUCAGUGGCAGACGGGUGAGUAACGCGUGGGAACGUACCUUUUGGUUCGGAACAACACAGGGAAACUUGUGCUAAUACCGGAUAAGCCCUUACGGGGAAAGAUUUAUCGCCGAAAGAUCGGCCCGCGUCUGAUUAGCUAGUUGGUAGGGUAAUGGCCUACCAAGGCGACGAUCAGUAGCUGGUCUGAGAGGAUGAUCAGCCACAUUGGGACUGAGACACGGCCCAAACUCCUACGGGAGGCAGCAGUGGGGAAUAUUGGACAAUGGGCGAAAGCCUGAUCCAGCCAUGCCGCGUGAGUGAUGAAGGCCCUAGGGUUGUAAAGCUCUUUUGCGCGGGAAGAUAAUGACGGUACCGCAAGAAUAAGCCCCGGCUAACUUCGUG
rnacentral:rRNA from 1 species